AGAACGAACGCUGGCGGCAUGCCUAAUACAUGCAAGUCGAACGAACACUUCGGUGUUAGUGGCGCACGGGUGCGUAACGCGUGGGAAUCUGCCCUUGGGUUCGGAAUAACAGUUGGAAACGACUGCUAAUACCGGAUGAUAUCGAAAGAUCAAAGAUUUAUCGCCCAGGGAUGAGCCCGCGUAGGAUUAGCUAGUUGGUGAGGUAAAGGCUCACCAAGGCGACGAUCCUUAGCUGGUCUGAGAGGAUGAUCACGCCACA
rnacentral:rRNA from 1 species